ensembl:lncRNA
GAUAUCAUAUUUGUGUGUGGAUGAUUUUCUACCUUUUUACAUGUUUGUCUUUACCAGUGAGCUUUCUCAUUGGUAAUUUUCGUGUUUCUAAUUUUAGCCUUUUCUUUUCUGCCUAGAGAAGUUCCUUUAGCAUUUGUUAUAAAGCUGGUUUGGUGGUUCUGAAUUCUCUUAGCUUUUACUUGACUGUAAAGCUUUUGAUUUCUCCAUCAAAUCUGAACAAGAGCAGUGCUUAUUAGAAUAUUCUUGGUUUUGUAGGCUUUUCUUUUUCAUCAUUUUAAAUAUAUCAGGCCAUUCCCUUCUGGCCUGCAGAGUUUCUGCUGAAAAAAUAGCUGAUAAUCUUAUGGGGGUUCUCUUGUAUAUUGUGUUGCUUUUCCCUUGUUGCUUCUAAUAUUUUCUCUUUGUCUUUAAUUUAGGUUAAUUUGAUUAAUACAUGGGUUUGUGUGUUCCUGCACAGGGCUAGCUGUGCUUCCUGGAUUUGAAUGAGUAUUUUCCUUUCCCAUCCUAGAGAAAUUUUUGGCUAUUAUCUCUUCAAAUAUUUUCUCAGGCCCUUUCUCUCUUCUCCUUCUGGGACCGCUGUAAUGCAAAUAUUGGUGUGUUUAAUAUUGUCCCCAAAUGUCCCAAAAAUGUUUUCUUUCUUUAUUCAGUUAUGCAUUGGUAAUUUCCACCAAUCUGUCUUCCGUCUUACUUAUUCACUCUUCUGUCUAAUGUAAUCUGCUAUUGACUCCUCUAGAGUAUUUUUCAUCUGUUCCUUUGUUCUUUAAAUCUUCUAUUUCUGUGUUAAACACUUCCUGUAAUUUCUCAAUCUGUGGCUCCAUUUUUUUUUUUUUUUUUUGCCUCCAGUGUCUUGCCCCCACAGUGAGCUAUAGCUGACCCCUCCUUCCCCAGGAGACUCUUCAAGGCCCACAGGUACAUCUGGCCCAGAUUCUUAUGGAGUCUCUGCCCUGGGACCCAGUGCACAUAUGAAACCUUGUGUGUCCUCUCUAAGAGGGUAGUCGCUGUUUCCUCCAGUUCUGCGGAGCCCCUGCAUUCAAGCCCCACUGACCUUCAAUACCAAAUGCUCUGGGGGCUCCUUUUCCCAAUAGCAAACCCCCAGGCUCGGGAACCUAACAUGGGGCUCAGAACUUAACUCCUGUGGGAGAGUCUCUAAGAUACAGUUUGUUUCCAGUUUGUGGGUUGCCCAACCAGCAGGUAUGGGAUUUGCUUAUAUUGUGAGAGUGCCCCUCCUAGCAUCUCAUUGUGGUUUCUUCUUUGGUAGUUUAUAGUCUGUUUUGUCGAUGUCUGUUCAGCUGUUAGUUGUGAUUUUGGUGUUUUCGUGAGAGGAUGUGAGCUUGAGUUCUUCAGCUCUGCUUUCUUGUCUCUGUGUUCUUGGAUAUGUGUUAAAUUAGAAACCUCCUCCUCAGGACAAAGCUUUAAGGUAAGAAAAUUGGUCUUGAGUACUUUUUAGUUUUCUGCCUCUGCUCAGGUCCUGGUAUUUGGUGAUUCUGCAUAAGCCCUUUAAGAACUGUUGCUGAGAUCACUAUAGGUUUGUGGACACAAACCCCAAUUGCUUUCAAAGCUAACAGAGUUAGGGGGUACUUGUCUCUCAGGUGCAGGUCUUAAAAGUUGAGGUUCAAACCCUUUCCUCAGGGGAAGGCUUAGAUUUGUAAGGGCCUCCUGAUGGUGGCUCAUCAUGCCAAGGUUCACAGCAAUAUUGAGUCCAGCCUCUCCUACCUACGCAAUGUAGGAGUUGCUCAGCUAGUUCUGGUGUUUUCUUCAGAAGACAUUGUUCCAUAUGUAGCUAUAGAUUUGGUGUGUCUGAGGGAGGAGAUCAAGAUCCCCCUAUGUCACCAUCUUGAAUGGGAACCUUGGGCUUUUCUGAAUGGAUAGUAGAAAGAGAGGAGGAGGAGGACUUAGGAGAAAAGGCAAGAUUCACUCUAAAAGUAAACAAAGCCUUUACACAUUUUGUCAAAUCAGUAACAUUUCUAGGUUGGAAGUCAGAAAGUUUUCAGAAAUUUUAGGCCAUAUAGGAUGGUGGUUUAAGCAAAUCUUGGCUGGAUAGUUAUUUAUCCAUUCUUUUCCUCUUUGCCACAACGGAAUUCUAAGACUGCCUGAAGAAUUAUCAGAGCAACAUGCUAAUUCUGUUCCUCACACAGAAUGAAAGAUAGGAUAAUGGAGAAUCUAAGAAGAGUACUUACUCUGUAGAAUUGGCAAAAUGGCAGCAAAGUGAUAACUAUCCACCUGGACUGGCUUCCUGCCAAUAGUUACAAUAGCCUCUCCAAAUUCAACCCACAUCUCUCUGAGUGACUUUUCUAAAUACAAACCUGACCCUGUUUCUUGGCAGAAGAGACUCACUAGUAAGCUAUUCAAGACCUUAUCUACUCCAUCAAGCCUUGGCUUUCUGGAAUUGCAAGCUGCAUCCUCCAGCCAUUUGGAGCCUCCAUCAUUCCCAAGUAAACCAGGAUGAAUUAUGAAUUACCCUGCCAUUGGCUGUAAAACACAGAGACUGAACUGGGUUUUAUAUCAACAAAGGAGGACCAGAACUUAAGCAUCACUGACUUAAGGAGUGUCAAGAGCAAUAUUCCUUGCCACAGCCUAAUGAGUAUAUCUUACAAGUAGCUGACUGAAAUAAUUAGCAACAACUUAAGCAAGAAUCUCAUUUUUGAAAUUAGAAUGAAAAGGAGUGAAAAAAACCAUACAUGAACUAUGGGACACAUUCCAAAGAAAUAAUAGCCUCACUUGAGGAGUCCCAGAAAGAGAAGAGAGAAAAAGAAUUGUUAUUCAAUCUGGGGAGAGAGAUGGCCACCCAAAGAUUCCACCCUAAGAUAUCCUCAACCUCUCAAAUAGCAAAGUCAGAAUAUUGAAAGCAGCAAGAGAAAAAAAAUCACAAUCACACAUACAGGGACUUCUGAUGAGGCUCUAUAUUUCUCCACAGAAAUCUUACAGGCCAGGAGACAGUGGGAUGAUAUAUUCAAACAGAAAACCUCAUUCAAGUAUACUUUACCCAACAAAGCUGUCAUCCAGAAAUGGAAGAGAGAUAAGACUUUGGAAACAAAGGUGUGAGGGAAUUUAUCACCAUUCCCUACAAGACCUGCCCUACAAGAAAUGCUAAAGGAAGAUCCUCAAACUGAAACAAAAGGAUGCUAAUUCGUGAUACUGAAAUAUAAAAUUUACUGAUAAAGUUGAUACGUAGUCAAAUUCAAAAUACUUCAAUAGUGGUGUGUAAAUCACUUUGAAAUCCAGCAUCUAGGUUAAAAGACGACAGUGUUGAAAGUAACUAUAGCUGUGUCAUAUAUUUAUAUAGUAUGUUUAUAAGUACAUUAUUUAAAUAUUUAAUUGGGACAUCAACAUAAAUCUGAGGGGAGCAGGUAAAUGGGUAGAACUUUCUAAUGUAGUUGAAGUUGUUAUCACCUUAACAUAGAUGGUUGUAACUAUAAGAAGUAUUAUGAAAGCCUCAUGGUAGUCACAGAUCAGAAUAAGGUAACAUGUAAAAUAGAGAUGACUAAGCAUAGUUUGAAAUGUAUCUAUUCUACUUGCAGAUCUACAUGCAGUGAAAUAUAUCUGUGUCUUUGGGUCACAUUAACAAAUAUAGUUAGCUGGCCCACGGUAAGAACGUGACUGUAGAAGGUUGGUUUAUGUAUAGUCACGAACUUGGCGAGUCUGCUAAAAUGCUUGUAGGUGGCAGAUAGCCUCCCCCCACCCCCCCAUGGCAUAGGGAAGUUCCCAGGCUAGGGGUCCAAUCGGAGCUGAAGCAGCUGACCUACAACACAGCCACAGCAACAUGGAAUCUGAGCCAGGUCUGCAACCUACACUACAGCUCACAGCAAUGCCAGAUCCAGCAACACUGGAUCCUUAACCCGCUGAGGGGUGGGUGGGGAGCCGGGAUUGAUCCUGCAUCCUCUUGGAUACUAGUCAGAUUCGUUUCCCCUGAGCCAUGACAGGAACAUCCCUGCAGAUAGUUCUCAGUGAUCAUUUUGCUCUGUGAGAUAGACGUUAGUUACUUUGGUAAAGUUAUCAUUGCUAUGAGCUUUGAGGUUAUACUGAAAACAGUGGUGUCAGACAAAGAUAACUGUGUAGGCAAAGUAAUGUGUAUUUUUGUUAGAGUUUUAUCUUAAAAAAAUGAGGUAACAGACAAAUAUCACAUAAUGAUAAAAGAGAAAAGCAAAGCAAAUAACUACAAAAAAUCAUCAACAGACAGCUAGAGGAACUAAGGAAUGACAAAACCACCAGAAAGUAAUGAACAUACUAGUGACAGUAAGUCCUUAGUUAUCAGUGAUUAAUGUAAAUGGGCUAAAUUCUCCAAUUAAAAGACAGACUGGCUGAAGAGAUAAAAAAUAAGACCUAUCUAUAUGCGGCCUGCAAGAGACUCUCUUAAGCACUAUGGACACUCAUGAACAGAACAUGAAGGAAUGGAAAAAGAUCCUUCAAGCAAAUGGAAACCCAAAGAGAGAAGUGAUUAGACAAAAUAGAUGUGAAGUCGAUAACUGUAAAAAAGACAAGGUCAUUAUGUAAUAAAGGGGCAAUUCAUCAGAUGUAUUCAUUGUAAACGUAUGCUUUAAACAGUGAGCCAAUCUGAAGGGAAAAAAUAGACAGCAAUGCGAUAGUAGUAGGGGGGCCUCAAUGCACCACUUUAAACAAUGGAUAGAUCAUUUAGGCAGAAAAUCAAUAAGGAAAUAAUGGAUGUGAAUGAUAUUUUAGAACAAGUGGACCUGCAGACAUAAUAUCCAUCCAACAGCAGCCAAAUAUGUUUUCAAGUGCACACAAAACAUUCUCCAGAGUACAACGUAGGACAGGUCACAAACCAUGUCCUUGAAAUCAAACCAAUUAUCUAUUCUGACCACAGUGGUAUGAAACUAGAAAUCAAUAAUAGGCGUAAAGCUGGAAAAUUCACAAAUAUAUGGGGAUUAAAUGACAUACUCAUGAAAAACCAGUGGGUCAAAGAAAUCAAAAGCAAAAUAAAAAAUACUCAGAAACAAAUGAAAGCAUAACACAUCAAAACCCAUGGGGUGCUGCAAAGGCUGGUUCUCAGAGUUUAUAGGGAUAAACAUCUCAAACAACCUCACUUUAUACCUCAAGAAACUAGAAAAAGAAACUAAGCCCAAACUUACAAUAAAGGGAAUAACAAAGAUCAGAGCAAGUAGCAAAUGAAGUAAGAGACGGAAAAGAUCAAUAAAACCAAGAGCUGGUUUGUUGAAAGAUAAACUGACAUUCAUCUAGACUCAAGAAAAAAGACUCAAAAUUAGAAAUGAAGAGAUACUAAAAUAGACAUCACAGAAAAAGAGACUACUCUGAAAAAGUAUACACCCAACAAACUGGACAACCCAGAAGAAAUGGAUAAAUUCCUUUGAAACAUAAAAUCUACCAAAGACUGAAUCAUGAACAGACAGAAAAUACGAACAGACUGAUUACCAGUAAGGAGAUUGAAUUAGUAAUUAAAAAAAAA